GACGAACGCUGGCGGCGUGCCUAAUACAUGCAAGUCGAACGCAGUGGGGACGGGUGAGUAACACGUGGGUAACCUCCCAUCAGAGGGGAUAACACUUGGAAACAGGUGCUAAACCGAUAUUGAUGGAUGGACCCGCGGUGCAUUAGCUAGUUGGUGAGGUAACGGCUCACCUGGGCGACGAUCUCUAGCAGGUCUUAGAGGUGGAUCAGCCAGACUGGGACUGAGACACGGCCCAGACUCCUACUGGAGGCAGCAGUGGGGAAUAUGUCACAAUGGGCGCAAGCCUGAUGCAGCCAUGCCGCGUGUAUGAAGAAGGCCUUAGGGUUGUAAAGUACUUUCAGCGGGGAGGCGUUACCCGCAGAAGAAGCACCGGCUAACUCCGUGCCAGCAGCCGCGGUAAUUC
rnacentral:rRNA from 1 species